UACGGAGGGUGCAAGCGUUAUCCGGAUUCACUGGGUUUAAAGGGUGCGUAGGUGGGCAGGUAAGUCAGUGGUGAAAUCUCCGGGCUUAACCCGGAAACUGCCAUUGAUACUAUCUGUCUUGAAUACCGUGGAGGUGAGCGGAAUAUGUCAUGUAGCGGUGAAAUGCUUAGAUAUGACAUAGAACACCAAUUGCGAAGGCAGCUCACUACGCGAAUAUUGACACUGAGGCACGAAAAGCGUGGGGGAUCAAACAGG
rnacentral:rRNA from 1 species